UUAUUGUGAAUGUAAAUUGAGUUUCCGGAUUAUUAAGAGUUAAGGUCUUCAAAGUUAAAAAAUUUGGCGGUAUUUUAGUCUAUUCAGAGGAGCCUGUCUUUUAAUUGAUAUUCCACGAUGAUUUUUACCUUAAUUUUAAAUUUGUAUAUCGUUGUUUAUAAGAAUUUUAGGAGAAUUUAAAUUCUUGGAAUUUUAAAUAUGAGAAUAAUUCAGAUCAAGGUGUAGUUUAUAUUAAGGAUAGGAUGGGCUACAUUAUUAUUAAAUGUGGUUUUUAUAUUUAAAAUAUAGGAUAAAAUGGAUUUGAUAGUAAAAUCUUUAUCUUUGGGGUUUGAUUUAGCUCUAAAAUAUGU
rnacentral:rRNA from 1 species